rnacentral:rRNA from 1 species
GUGGGGAAUUUUGCGCAAUGGGGGAAACCCUGACGCAGCAACGCCGCGUGAGUGAUGAAGGCCUUCGGGUCGUAAAGCUCUGUCAGAGGGAAAGAAAUGCGGGAGGGUUAAUACCCCUUUUGCUUGACGGUACCCUCAAAGGAAGCACCGGCUAACUCCGUGCCAGCAGCCGCGGUAAUACGGAGGGUGCGAGCGUUGUUCGGAAUUAUUGGGCGUAAAGCGCGUGUAGGCGGUCUUUUAAGUCUGAUGUGAAAGCCCCGGGCUCAACCUGGGAAGUGCAUUGGAAACUGUCAGACUUGAAUACGGGAGAGGGUAGUGGAAUUCCUAGUGUAGGAGUGAAAUCCGUAGAUAUUAGGAGGAACACCGGUGGCGAAGGCGGCUACCUGGACCGAUAUUGACGCUGAGACGCGAAAGCGUGGGGAGCAAACAGGAUUAGAUACCCGUGUAGUCC